AGCCGAUGCCAUAAUUGCCACAAGGCAAUAUAUGGAAAAAGAAAACAUUCCUGACACUUGCGACCCCUUGAAGUAUUGGGAGAUGACUGCUGACAACGAACUGAAAUUGGUUGCAAAAAAAUUUUUCUGUAUACAAGCCUCGUCCUGUGAGUCUGAACGAGUAUUCAGCAAAGCUGGACAAACCAUAUCUGACCGCAGGACAAGGCUUAAACCUGAAGUUGUUGAUCAACUUUUGUUCCUGAAUAGAAAUAGACACUUUAAAUGAUCUCAAAUAAAUCUCAUGUUACUGUU